rnacentral:rRNA from 1 species
CCUACGGGAGGCAGCAGUGGGGGAUAUUGCACAAUGGGGGAAACCCUGAUGCAGCGACGCCGCGUGGGCGAAGAAGUAUUUCGGUAUGUAAAGCCCUAUCAGCAGGGAAGAAGAAAUGACGGUACCUGAGUAAGAAGCACCGGCUAAAUACGUGCCAGCAGCCGCGGUAAUACGUAGGGGGCAAGCAUUAUCCGGAUUUACUGGGUGUAAGGGGAGCGUAGACGGCAGUGCAAGUCCGGAGUGAAAGCCCGGGGCUCAACCCUGGGACUGCUCUGGAAACUGUAAAGCUGGAGUGCGGGAGGGGCAGGCGGAAUUCCUGGUGUAGCGGUGAAAUGCGUAGAUAUCAGGAGGAACACCGGCGGCGAAGGCGGCCUGCUGGACCGUAACUGACGUUGAGGCUCGAAAGCGUGGGGAGCAAACAGGAUUAGAUACCCGGGUAGUC